UUUCAAUCCUAUCAAACCAAAAACAAUUUACUUGAUUGCUUCACGUAUUCUUACCACCUCCAGUAGGUGCAAUGGAAGUACCAAAACUUAACAAACAAGAGAUAGUUUAACGAGCAGAAUUUGCUGUCAAUUGGGUUUAACACAUAACAUCUGCAGGUUUGCUUGCAUGUAAAAAAAAAACGUCAGUCCGCUCACGUUUCGGCAGGUGUUCUUGGAUUGUUUAAAAAUUAGAGCGACAUCUAAAGAAAAUUAGAGCAGUUAUAAAACAAGAGCAAGAAAUCCCAUUCUUUGAACAACAUCAACAUACAUUUGAAGCACGACGAAGCAAAUUUUGGACCCUCGCUAAAUUGCGUAUAUUGCAUCAUGUGCAAUAUAGAUCGAAUUAGGCCGAUAAACCGUCCGAUAAGAGCUAAACCGAUACCAAUCCGCCCAAUAUCUUAUCGGGUGGCUAGCGGAUUAAUAAAUCUAGAAGCCGAUAACCAAUAAGCCAAACCGUUAAGAGUAAAUAACCACCCAAUCCGCCCGAUAAGCAGCCCUAAUUCCUACCCCUAUAUAAUAAUAGCUAAUCCCUAAAUAAGAAACUACGCCUAAAAAAACUCAUCUCAUCCGCCAUCCCCUUUAUUCUUUGUCUGCUCCAUUUCCUUUUCGAAAGAACCAAAGAAAAAGGCUGAAGAAUCCUAGAAACUAGCAGCCGAAAAGGACAAAAAAAUGAAAAAGACCUAAGAGACAAAAGCUGCCAGCCGCAGCAUACACGGACCCCCCUCCCCCCCAUCGGAAUUCUCUCAUUCUUGGAGAGAAUACACAGAAUGAGACCUAAGGACUAAAAUUUUUGAUCAGCCGUUUGAACAAAAAUCAGAACCUCUACCGUUCGUCAUCUCCAGCAGCUGACAUAGACGAUCAGGCGCAAGAACCAAAAAGGCUGAAGAGCGCCGUUUUGACACAGAUUUCGGACGACGGCCAUUGUUUUCAAUCAGUCGAGCCUUCUCGUGUUUGGACUUCGUUUUCUCUUUCAGAUUUUUAGCUGGAAUUUAAUUUCAGAAAAAUACAAAAAAACAAAAAAAAACGUUGGGUUCUUUCUGUUAAAAUUGGUUUGAAAGAUGGAUUUGGUUUGAAAUAUUUGAUCCGAAGUUCCGUUUGGAGUUUGAAUCUGUCGACGAAGAUGGUUCUGUUUCUUCAUUUGGUUUUGAUUUCUGGUUAUUCGAGUAUGGGAAUAGAGUUAAGUCGAGGUUGAUUCGAGUUCGUCGCCGGUUCUAGAUUUUCGGUGCCGAUUUGGGUCCCCGUUCGCGGUUCGUCAUAUUUUUGAGUGUUAAACAUUGAAACAACCAAUUUUCCGGCUAUAUUGAGAGAAAAUUUUGUACCUUAUGGCUGGAGGAUCAAGAAUAAGAAUAAAGGUGGAGUCUCCAACAUCUGAGUUCUAUACUGAAGUGAGAGGAAAUAGUACAGUAAAAGAAUUAAUGAAGAUAAUCAUAAAGGUAUGGGGAGAUGAAUACAUGAAUCUUUAUCACAAGUCUACAAAAAUGAAGAGUGAUCAAUUUCUAUCUGCUUAUAAUAUCAAAGAUGACUCUAUUGUCAAAGUUAAAGUUUUUGCAGAACCUCCUGAUGAGCUAGUGAGUGUUGUCAAACUCCCAAAGAGAGAUUGCCCAAUCACCUUCAAGUUAAUAGAAAACUACAAAAAAUGUAAUUUAUUUGGUUUUGUUUGGUUUCAUUGUGUUUCCUGAGGGGUAUGCCUAUCCAGUUUUAUGUAAUUAAUUGAUUUUUUGAACUGAUAUGCUAACAAUAAUUCGAAGAAUGAAAGUUGCUUCAUUUGAUGUAUGAAGAAAUACUCCAUUGGUACAUACUCUUAAA